GCAACAGUGUUCAAAAGCUCUGCGAGACGACCACAACCCGCAGUGUUGUACGCGCCCGGCCGAGUUGCCCAUUUGUUUUGCCCCGUUGGAACUUUCGUUUUCGGAUUUUCGGUUUUUCGUUUUUCCAUCCUCCUCCGAAAACCCGCCAAUCGCCGUCGUCGAUAUACGUACAUAGAAAAUCGAGCCCCCGUCCGCACACCGAUCGCGUCGUUGCUCUCUCGUCUCCGAAAUAUUAUCGUUUAAUAACGCGCGCCCCCCCAACACCCGUCGACUUCUUCUUGCACUGCAUGUUAUUUUUUUAUCGUCAAACACUGCAGAAUAGAUCGUCGAGUACGUCGUGGCCAAACGCCACCACGUCAUGGUCUUGGUUUUGAAUCGUACACGAUAAACGCAAUAACAUAUUUAAAAAAAAAGUCUUCGAUCACCUACCUCACGACAAACAGCCGAAAAAAUUACAGAAACCGAUUGCGACCGUUGCCCAAAAAUCAACAAGACCCAGAAAAAAUGUUAACAUUAUAAUAAGGAGGAGGAAGCGGACGAGAGAAUAAAUGGUUAAAAUCUACCCAACACGUGCUUGAACGGAAAAUCAAAAACAUCGUUGUUACGACGUUAUAUUUUGCAGCAGAAUAUAGUGUACAGAGCAGAACACUGAAUUACGGUGAUGACCGCUGCCCAACAACAAGGCCUGGACACGACGAUCGUCAUGUCGUCGGAAGAACACGAAGACCACGAGCCGUCUAGUUCGAGAGAUUUGUAAGUUAACCCUCAUGUCGAAUAAAAAUUGGACCGGCGACAAGUCUCGCCGUUAUUGUAUCAUACUUUAUUUUAAUUUUAUUUUUAAGCAUUUAUUAGAGUAUAUACAAUAUGUAGCAUUUUUACAAUAAGCAUAUGCGCGAAAGAUACUAUUAACGUGGAAUGCUUGAGGGGAGUAAUACCCAGCAGUAAUACUCAACGAAAUUGUAUCAAAUAAUAUAAUAAUAUGUUUAAGUUAUUACAGUAAUUAUUCUCAGAACACGAGCUUUAUAGGUAUCGUAAAAAUAACAACAACAACAAAAAC